AACAACUGCUCUCUUUUCAAGUGUUUGCCUCAAUUUGUUAUUGUUUUACAUUUGUUGAGUAAUUAGUCUGUUAAUAUUUGUUUCGUAUAUAAUUUCUUUGUUGGUAAACAUGACAUUACCAGUUCCGCGGCGGAUGGAUAUGGGCAGAAUUUCCCGUCGCAUAUCCACCCAACUUUAGUUAGAGAGGAAGGGCGGUAGCGAGAGCGACACCUGAUGUGAGCACCAAACAACAUUGAUUAGCUGUGAGGACCAUCCCAUAUAGCAUACCAGCAGCCAUACACAGAAACGAUCCAUACAAAAUGAACGUCAAGCAUUAAUUCAUAUCAGCUUGCAACAUCUGAGUUGUAUGUAACGACAGUAAAAUAUGUAUUACUAAUGGGCUAACGUGUCAGACUAGGGAUGGCUCCUGGAAUUCUAACUCAACAUCUUAAAUUUUAUUUGUGGCUGAAUAUCCAGCUAACUCAUUGGUUGUUAGGGUUAGGUCUAUUCUUACAGCUGUCCAGCCUCUUGGAAACCCAGACUUCGGGGACUGUGCCUUGGCUCAGUGGGGGCUGGUUCAGCUUAGAAUUAGAUGAGCCUGUUGGAUGUCACAGCCAUUAAUGAUUGCUGUUUUUUGCUGUAAGUCGCCAAAGUUAAACUUACACUAUAUGAUUCGCCAACUGUGUUUUAUUCUUAGGGUUGUGGUCUCCUUGGUUGAGUCCAGGUACUGCAAGAAUCACUACACACGAACCAUUACCCUACUAUUGUCUGCCCAGGUUUCCUGAGUACAGAUGACAUCGCUAUUUCGAAAAUAAUUACAAAACUCUACAUCACUAAACUUUGUACUAACGCUACCCUGGAUGUUCCAAGUUGAAAAAA